UACAGAGGGGGCAAGCGUUAUUCGGAAUUAUUGGGCGUAAAGGGCGCGUAGGCGGCUUGGCAAGUGGAAGGUGAAAUCCCUCGGCUUAACCGAGGAACUGCCUUCCAGACUGCUAGGCUUGAGACCGGGAGAGGUGAGUGGAAUUCCCAGUGUAGCGGUGAAAUGCGUAGAUAUUGGGAGGAACACCAGUGGCGAAAGCGGCGCACUGGACCACAACUGACGCUGAGGCGCGAAAGCUAGGGGAGCAAACAGG
rnacentral:rRNA from 1 species